GCCGUGGAAGAACUCCAUUCAGAGGCAGUCGUGAUAAACCAGAGCAUCAGCCCUUUCCGCUGGGAUACCAAUAAGUCUUGAACUUCAAAACUGCUGACCUAAAAAGGAUACUUGAGAAGGAGCAAGUCUUUCCUUUUUUCUUUUAAAGAAAGCAACACCAGAAGCAGUCGAACUUCCUUGUUCACUUAGGUGCAUGCAAAAAAGAAAAGUUUACUCUGCUUCAGGACCCUCUCUUACCCCUCAUGGCGUGAGCCUGAAGCCUGUCCACUGAGGAGCGUUCUAAGAACUUCCAGAUCAUUCCAUGGAACUACAGCAGAAAGGACCCGAGGUGAGAAGAGGGACUGUGUGAACUUGACUCUGUAUAAGCCAACUAAUUGUCUCAGUUUCCUCAUCUGUAAGAUGUGCAUAUAAUACCUGCCUCAUAAAGAUAUUCUGAGAACUUGAUGGGCGUGUGUAUGUGAGACUCCUAAUACAUCACCCAGCACCGAAAAGGUGUUCCCGCGAUAAUGAAAUUCAAUGCAUUGAAUUUAGUUCCCGACUAUCAAAACCUAGAUGGGAGUUCCCAUUGUGGCUCAGCAGGUGAAGGACCCGAUGUUGUCUCCGUGAGGAUGCAGGUUUGAUCCCUGGCCUCGCUCCAUGGGUUAAGGAUCCAGGGCUGCGUGAGCUGUGGUGUAGGUGGAAGACGCGGCUGGGAUCCUGUGUGCUGCUGUGGCUGUGGCGUAGGACGGCAGCUGUAGCUCCGAUUUGGCUCCUAGCCCGGGAACCUCCGUAUGCCGGGGGUGCAGCCAUUACAGAGGAAGGAAGGAAGGAGGGAACACCUGGAUGGUUUUCUUUUAAGGACCUGGAUUCUUUGGGUCUCUAGCACCCAAAGACGUUCAGCCCCACGAUGCUGAGGGUGAAAUGGUGAACAGGAAGCCCCCCAGCGGUUCCUCCCUAAAACCUCAUGAGGGACCACCCACGAAGGGUCCCAGCACACCUGCGCUGCCUCAGAAGAUGGUCCCAGGUAAAGAGGUCACUCUUGCCACCCAAAGAAGCUGAGUAUUGUCUCGUCGGACGCAAAUGGGCAGAAGCCAAAUGCAACUGACCAGCACCAUGGGUCUGCAGACUUUCUGGGAGGAAACCCUUUGCAAAGCCGGAGUCAGGAGUCACGGGCAGAGAGCAGACCUCCUCAGAGACACUAUUACGGACUGUUUAGUGCGUGAAGUGACAUUUGAACCAAUCCCAUGGAGAGUCAUAACCCUGCCGGAGGUUUGUGCCAAGGACCUACGUGGAAUAUGCUCAGGAAAAUCGCCGGAACUUGAAAACCCAAAAUGUAGAAGACUUCAGACCAGACCAGAACAUUCUCUUAGCCAACCCUGGCUAAGAGUUUUUCUCAAUCUUUAGGGAGGAGAAUGUGGGAGGUUAAGCCAGAACUCCUUCGUAUAUCCUUCUGCACCAUGUGUGGCAUAAAAUUAUAAGUUAGCUGGGAGUAGCUGGAUUGGCCUUAUGUCCUCGCGUGGGUUCAGGCAUUCUCGAUACUUCCUUUUGUUCGCUCUCUUCCUCGAGUCCUGGGUCACAGACAGCCGCCAGCUCUUAUUAUAGCCAGAUACCCAGGGUGGACCCCUUCUAACUCUUGCAGUUAGAGUCCUGGUGCCCGGAGUUUCCAGGUAAGCAGCAACCCUCACACAGUGUUGUCUGGGUGUGCGGCCUGUAGUAAUAGCGCACCACGCCCUGAAAGACAAUAUGCCAGAAUAUUAAACUAUUCUUCUACGGGCACCAUGUCACGUAGGACGCGAACGGCGCGGCACAAGCCGGUCCCUCUGAAGAUGUCAGGCUCCAGAGGGGCUCAGUCCGACCGAGUCCCUGCCUUCCUAUUGCUCUCAGCUUUCUCAGGCUGGUUUCUAUAUUUUGUCCUCAGGUCUGUCCCCGCCUGGAGUGACAGCAUGGUGGAGGGGACGGAUGGAGGGGCUCUGGCCUCGGGCGGAAGGGAGGGCACAUCCCACGGCUGUCUCCUUGAAUGGCUGCCUCCUCAUCCUGUGACUUAACUUUUCUGGGUCUGGGCUGCCGGCCUGGUCCAUAGGAGCUGCUCCCAGCUGUGAGCGGCUGCCCUUCGCCCCGCCCUGUGUCACCCACCCUCGUGUCACCCACCGUCUCGUUUCCCCCAUGCUGAUCCUUAAUUCAUUCUCUCAUUCUUUCUAAUCCCAGAACCGGCUCCAAGGCCUUGAGCUCUUACUCUGGUAAACACUCUUACCCCUAGACACUCCCAUUCCCUCACACGCUGACUCACCAUAAACAACCUCUGAGAGUCCCGAAACGUCCAGCUCUGCUGCCUUUUUUUUUUUUUUUUUUUNCUCGGCUCUUUUUUUUUUUUUUUUUUUUUUCUUUUUUUCUUUUUAGGGCCACCGCCAUGGCAUAUGGAAGUUCCCAGGCUAGGGGUGGAAUCAGAGCUACAACUGCCGGCCUUCGCCCCACCCACAGCAAUGCUGAAUCCAAGCCGCAUCUGUGAUGUACACCAAGCUCACGGCAAUGCCAGAUCCUUCAUCCACGGAGCUCGGCCAGGGAUUGAACCUGCGUCCUCAGGGGUACGAGUCCAGUGUGUAAUCCACUGAGCCACCAAGGGAACUCCCAUCUCCGCUGCCUUCACACACCCCCGCCCCUCGCCCGUUAUUCACCCCCCCUUUUGGCCACACCCACAGCAUGCAGAAGUUCCCGGGCCAGGGGUCAAGCCUGCCCCACAGCAGCGACUCAAGCCCCCGCAGUGACGGCGCGGGAUCCUUAAUCACAGGGUCACCAGCGAAUGGCUCUUCCUCCCUCUUUAGCAGAAGUGCGACUGGGCCCUUCGUUUCGGGGCUGUCCCCAGGGCCUCCCAGGGAUGCGGCCGCUGGCCCAGAUCUCCGUGUUCUCUCAUCUGGCUCCUGGGGGGCCCCAGACCUUUCCCAACCCACUUCCCAGGCUUUGUUUCGUGUUCCCACCCUCUGUGUGUGAGAAGGACAGCACGUGUGCUUUCUCUGCUAAAUGCCAGGGCCGCUUCUCAACCCAGACCCCGCCGCCCAUUUGUCGCCGGCGGCCCAGCAGGACGGGCCGGCCCCUACGUGCGCUCCGGCCCGCCCCUCCUUCCGCCUCAGCAUCCUGCUCGGAACUUUCUCCCGAGGAGAUGCUGUCCAUUAACUCGGACUGAACCCCGGUCUCACGGCUACGUGUCCAAAUGAAAGGGCCGUCGAGUCCGCGAGGAUCUCCCCGCUUCCUGCCAGGAAGAGGUCAGUCUCUUCUUCGCCUUGGACCCGGAGUCGCCUUCCUCCGGGAAGUGGGCGUUGCCGAUUUUACACCGUGGCCGAGGGACCAGUUCAGUCCUGGAGUUUUUACUGGGGACGCUGACUGGGGGGUUUCGACACGUGGUCAGAGGCAGGCUGUCUGCCCUCGGCCCUGCGCCCGUAACUACGUCUGGUUCACGUGCGCACCGUUCAUGCCGUUUGUGGAGCGCGUGUCUCUGAUGUGCGGUCUCCUCUCACCGAUGCCGCUGAGGACAAAGCCGUCUGCAGAGUUUAUUUGUUCUCUCUUAGGCUAAAAACAAAACCAUGGGACUGUGUGUGACCCAGGCCUGCCCUGACACUUGGAUGGGCUCUUGGUCCCCUGCAGAGAGCCCUGGUGGACCCCCUGGGGGUAUCUGAGGGGGGCCCCUUCAUCCAACCCAGGGCCCGGCGCCCUGCAGCUUUGAAAGAGGGAGCUGAGGCCCGCCGCUGUUUGCUGACCAGAGAUGCAGGAGAGCAGCUCGUUUAUCUCCACUCCGCUCACAGACAUCUCUGGACACAUACGGUUGCUGUUUUGUUUGGACUCAUUUAGAUUUUUUCCCCCUAAUGGUUAAGAGAGAAAACAAGCUUUAAAGAUGACUUAAUCGUUGUCCCAUGUUACUUCAUGGGACAUCACCAGCCUCCCCAGAGUGCCGGGUCGGAGCAGGGCUGGUGCCUCUGGGAGAAGAUCUGGAAUUUGGAAACUUCCAGGCUGGGGGAACAGACCCUGAAGGACGGUGAGUGGGACUUUGGUUUCCCAUCUGCAAAAAUGGGAGUUACUCUCUUCUGGCUGCCAGGCUUUUACAUAAGGAAGAAACAUGAGAGUUCCCGUUGUGGUUCAGCGGGUUUAAGAACCCGACUGGUAUCCAUGAGGAUGUGGGUUCGAUCCCUGGCCUCACUCAUGGGUUCAGGAUCUGGCAUUGCCACAAGCUGCAGUGUAGGUCACGGAUGCGUGUCGGAUCUGGCGUGGCUGUGGCUGUGGCGUAGACUGGUGGCUGCCGCUCUAAUUCAACCCCUCGACUGGGAACUUCCAUGUGCCUCCGGUGUGGCUGGAAAAAGGCAAACAGAGGAAGAAGCGGACAGAUAUGGCACUGCAGAGAAGGACCUGGAUUAUUGCUGUUGUAAUAACUCUGGGCAAUAUAAAAGAGGCGUAAUAGGGCCCACUAUUCCUUCCAGGGACAGUUGCUGUUACGACUCUGGGUGACAGUGAAGAGGACAGGGGUUUGGGGAAGUGAUGUCUGGGGCAGAACUAAGCGUCGGACGGGAGAGGGUUGCCCUUGACUGGUGGUGGUUACUCCAGGAUUAGCUUUUGUCGAUUAUGUGUUACAAAUACAAUCCACGCCCAUUGUAAAAACAUGCAAACAGCAGAAAUAUGUAAAAUAUGUGAAGCAAAAAGUGAUGGGCCGACUUCCUCCGAAGGGGGUCAGCCUGCUGGUGACCAGCCACCUGGAUCCGUUCCAGGCACGCACACGGAGGACAGUUUGUUUUAAUGAAAGUUAGAUCAUACU
rnacentral:lncRNA from 1 species